rnacentral:tRNA from 1 species
GCCUCGAUAGUGCAGCGGUCAAGCACAUGGGCCUUUCAAGCCCGUAACCCGGGUUCAAAUCCCGGUCGGGGC